AGGGGAGAGAGGGCCGGCGGAGGCCGCACAGACCCUGCUCCGGCUGCUUCUCCGUCCUGAGCGAGGAGUCACAGUCCAUGCCCUGGAAUUCCCGUGAGGAGGAUGUGGCUCAGCCAGGCGGGAGAGGAAGAGCCCGGCGGGAGGACCCGGAUCCGGCACAUCCCGCGGGACACCCCGGCCGUGUCCUGCUGCCGUGACACGUCACAACAGAGCCCCAGCAGGAUCCCCGGGCUGGGCAGGGACCCCCACGCAGGGCCCCCCAGGAUGCUCCAAACACCCAACAGCGCAGUGGGAAGUGAUGCCGGAGGACGGGAGCAAUGCCAGCGGCUGGGAACAGCCCCAUGCCAGGAGAGAGCCAGGGGCUCAGCCGCCCCCUCCCUGCCCUGAGCUGAGUCCCACAGCCCCCCCACUCCCCAAAAUCCCUCUGGGGGCAGCUGCCCCUCCCUUUUCCAAGCUCCCAAAUAAAGCCGGAGCACCGGAGGGAGUGGAUGUGUUUGGGACACACACGUGGUGGGUGAUUCCUGAUGGGGUGACCCCACUCUGGGGGUGCUGCUCCUGCUCCAGCCCUGCUCCCACCCAUCCCAGCCCUCCCCACACUCCUCACAUCGCCAGGGAUCCCCUCCUUGGCACA